GCAGAACCAAAGAACCUAGAACCGUGCAUCAAACAAUUUGUGUACCAAAUGUAUAAGAAUGAGUCAGUACAAGGAACUGAUGAUGUUUUCCAGUUCGAUUUGAGUAUUCCAAUGGUUCCUCAACAGGAUGACGGUGAAAAAUGUGGAUACUAUGUUCUUUACUAUAUGUUCAAGUUUUUGAUGUCUUGUCCAGAAAACUUCAACAUUAAUGAACAUGGUGGCUUUAUGAAUAGCAGUUGGUUCACAGAGGAAGAGAUGAACAACUUUUUCAACAAUCUAUCAUCAGAGAAAUUGCAUACUGACCAAAUGCAAGCUUCAGAAGACAUAAUUGUGGUCAAGGAAAAGA